rnacentral:rRNA from 1 species
UACAGAGGUCCCAAGCGUUGUUCGGAUUCACUGGGCGUAAAGGGUGCGUAGGUGGCAGGGUAAGUUUGAUGUGAAAUCUCCGAGCUUAACUCGGAAACUGCAUUGAAUACUAUCCUGCUCGAGGGUUGGAAGGGGGACUGGAAUUCUCGGUGUAGCAGUGAAAUGCGUAGAUAUCGAGAGGAACACCAGUGGCGAAGGCGGGUCCCUGGACAACACCUGACACUGAGGCACGAAAGCUAGGGGAGCAAACAGG